AACGAACGCUGGCGGCAUGCCUAACACAUGCAAGUCGAACGAAACCUUCGGGGCUAGUGGCGGACGGGUGAGUAACACGUGGGAACGUGCCCUUCGGUUCGGAAUAACUCACCGAAAGGUGUGCUAAUACCGCAUGUUCUCUUCGGGGGAAAGAUUUAUCGCCAUUGGAGCGGCCCGCGUCUGAUUAGCUAGUUGGUAAGGUAAAAGCCUACCAAGGCGACGAUCCGUAGCUGGUCUGAGAGGAUGACCAGCCACACUGGGACUGAGACACGGCCCAGACUCCUACGGGAGGCAGCAGUAGGGAAUAUUGGGCAAUGGGCGAAAGCCUGAUGCAGCCAUGCCGCGUGAGUGAUGAAGGCCUUAGGAUUGUAAAGUUCUUUCACCCGGGACGAUAAUGACGGUACCGGGAGAAGAAGCCCCGGCUAACUACGUG
rnacentral:rRNA from 1 species